AGAGUUUGAUCAUGGCUCAGAUUGAACGCUGGCGGCAUGCCUUACACAUGCAAGUCGAACGGCAGCAUGAUCUAGCUUGCUAGAUUGAUGGCGAGUGGCGAACGGGUGAGUAAUACAUCGGAACGUGCCCUGUAGUGGGGGAUAACUAGUCGAAAGAUUAGCUAAUACCGCAUACGACCUGGGGGUGAAAGUGGGGGACCGCAAGGCCUCAUGCUAUAGGAGCGGCCGAUGUCUGAUUAGCUAGUUGGUGAGGUAAAGGCUCACCAAGGCGACGAUCAGUAGCUGGUCUGAGAGGACGAUCAGCCACACUGGGACUGAGACACGGCCCAGACUCCUACGGGAGGCAGCAGUGGGGAAUUUUGGACAAUGGGCGAAAGCCUGAUCCAGCAAUGCCGCGUGUGUGAAGAAGGCCUUCGGGUUGUAAAGCACUUUUGUCCGGAAAGAAGUGGCUCUGGUUAAUACCUGGGGUCGAUGACGGUACCGGAAGAAUAAGGACCGGCUAACUACGUGCCAGCAGCCGCGGUAAU
rnacentral:rRNA from 1 species